UCCGAACCUCGAGACCUUCCAGAUCUUCCACCAGUACUGCCACCAAGUUCAUCAUACCCAAAUGCAAAACAACCACCCACCAACGAUCCUUCUUCAUACGAACAACCCGUGUCUGGAACAUUCUAGCGGAAGAACUAAAACUGGAGACUUGUGGUCUCUCGACAUUCAAGUCUAUUCUUUAUGAAUAUUAUAUGACUUCAUUAAGAACUUCUUACAACGUUGACGAUCCUUGUUCGUACAAAACAAUCUGUCUAAAGUGUAAUUGUGUUCGUAGUCUUACCAAUCCGAUCUCGUGUUGCAUGUAGAUAUUGUGUCUUCGUCUGUUGCAUGUUUUGGAAAGAGUUAGUUCGUUAUCCUCAAGCAGUAUUCCUUGUUAUAUCGUUUCUCUCGUUAUUAUAUGAGUUUAAAAGUUGGUUUAGUGUCAAGUAGUAUCUUAUGACUUGCCUCUGAGGACAAGGAAACAACUCGUUCCUAUAUUAUCAUUAUGUUGUUAAGUUUUAAAGGGGCUGCAGUAAUUGGCUUGCGCUGUUGCAGAUUCCCUGCCAUGUGCUAAUAAUUAAUAUUUGUACAAGGG